UAUAUAUUCAAGCAUGUACCACCAAUUUAAUAAGAUAAUAAAGUCAUAACUAAUACCAAAAGUAAACUGAAACUUGCUGAAGAAUUCAGUGAUAUAAAUACAGGGGAUGAGACUAACCAUACCAGGCGCAGACAGGUGAAGAAGCCCAAGCAUCUAGUUAUCGAAAGUAGUGAUGAUGAGGAACCUGAAAUACAUGAAAGGCCACCCAAAGGUUUUAUUAAGAAGAUACCAGGAAAGACUGUAAAAAGGCCCAUUGAAGAGUUGAGUGCUCACAGCCAAAUGUCCAACUGCUCUCAAACAUUAGUAUCAUCAAAUAAUGAAAAGAGUUUUGGGUGGAAUCAAAAGAGCCAAUCCCCAUACAAAGGAAAAUUCUAGAAAAUUUGGUCUUCAUUAAAGAACAGAACAAAGAAAUAUUGAACUUUUUGAAGUCUGGUUUGAUUGGGACAGGUAAUCGAAAUCAAGUAACCUACACUUCCUUUGGUUUGCCAGAAUUACCCAUAGAUUUACCCUGCACGAGUACAAAUGAGAUUAUAAAACUUGAAGAAUAUGUAUCCUUGAAGGAGAAUUUCAGUGCUUUGAACUCGUACCUCGUAUCAUUAGGUGGGAAGGAUACUUCAUCAUGUACUAAUCGUAUUCUGAGGCAAAUUUUAACAAAUUCCGCAUCUUGUUCAUUCAAUUUUUGUGGCUCUAGAAAUAAACAGGCCUUCUCAAACUUGAGGCUCAACAAAUUGAUUAUAGAUUCUGUUAAACAUGUCAUCCCCAAGGCAACAGAAAAAGAUAUUGAAGAUUCCAUAAAAGUAUGGCUGAAGCAUGCUCCUGAAAGGCUGAACAAAAAUAUGAGAAAUGAAUAGAUGUGAAAUUUCAUGAGAUGCAACGAAAAAGUGUCGUAGGUCAAAGACAAUUUUAUAGGAGAGUAACAUUAGUGUUCAGACAAUUUCAAAUGAGAUACAAAAUGAUGCAUCUAAUAAUCUUCACAUUUCUCAGUCAACUAAUAAUUUUCAUAUUUCUGAGGCACCUAAUGCCCAUAAUAAUAAUGUCCAGUCUUUUCCUCUGUGUUCAAAUAGCGUUCUUGGAGAAAAAGUUGUAGAAUUACCAGAAAAAUCUGAACUGUCUUCUAAUAAUGGAAUAGAUUAUUGUCAAUUCUCGGAUUGUGCAUUACUUUCUAGUGAAACAAGAAAUAAUCUAACCACUAAUGAUUCUGAUUUUCAAUCAAAAUUAGCUAUUUGGGCAAGUGCAAAACGUACAAUAUCGCAUACUGAUGUAAUUCAGAACUUCCGUUAGAUUGCCGAACUCUACUUCACACACCAUCAAAACAUACAAUAGAAAAACAUCUAGACAAUAAUGGUGUAUAUAUCCAUAUUGGUUUGAAAUUUGGGAUGCAAAAAUUACUUGCUGACUUAACCAAAUAUAAUUCUAUUGAGAAAAAUAUU